rnacentral:rRNA from 1 species
GACGAACGCUGGCGGCGUGCUUAACACAUGCAAGUCGAACGAAGUGGCGAACGGGUGAGUAACGCGUAAUCAACCUGCCCUUCAGAGGGGGACAACAGUUGGAAACGACUGCUAAUACCGCAUACUGAAGGUGGGGAUUGCGUCUGAUUAGCUAGUUGGCGGGGUAACGGCCCACCAAGGGGAUGAUCAGUAGCCUGGCUGAGAGGAUUGACGGCCACAUUUGGACUGAGACACGGGCCAGAAUCCUACGGGGGGGAAGAGUGGGGAAUCAUCCGAAAUGGACGAAAGGCUGACGGCGCAACGCCGCGGGAGUGAUGACGGCCUUCGGGGUGUAAAGCUCUGUUAAUCGGGACGCGGUACCGGAAUAGAAAGCCACGGCUAACUACGUGCCAGCAGCCGCGGUAAUAC